GACGAACGCUGGCGGCGUGCCUAAUACAUGCAAGUAGAACGCUGAAGGAGGAGCUUGCUUCUCUGGAUGAGUUGCGAACGGGUGAGUAACGCGUAGGUAACCUGCCUGGUAGCGGGGGAUAACUAUUGGAAACGAUAGCUAAUACCGCAUAAUAGUAGAUGUUGCAUGACAUUUGCUUAAAAGGUGCAAUUGCAUCACUACCAGAUGGACCUGCGUUGUAUUAGCUAGUUGGUGAGGUAACGGCUCACCAAGGCGACGAUACAUAGCCGACCUGAGAGGGUGAUCGGCCACACUGGGACUGAGACACGGCCCAGACUCCUACGGGAGGCAGCAGUAGGGAAUCUUCGGCAAUGGACGGAGGUCUGACCGAGCAACGCCGCGUGAGUGAAGAAGGUUUUCGGAUCGUAAAGCUCUGUUGUAAGAGAAGAACGAGUGUGAGAGUGGAAAGUUCACACUGUGACGGUAUCUUACCAGAAAGGGACGGCUAACUACGUGCCAGCAGCCGCGGUAAUACGUAGGUCCCGAGCGUUGUCCGGAUUUAUUGGGCGUAAAGCGAGCGCAGGCGGUUAGAUAAGUCUGAAGUUAAAGGCUGUGGCUUAACCAUAGUACGCUUUGGAAACUGUUUAACUUGAGUGCAAGAGGGGAGAGUGGAAUUCCAUGUGUAGCGGUGAAAUGCGUAGAUAUAUAAAGGAACACCGGUGGCGAAAGCGGCUCUCUGGCUUGUAACUGACGCUGAGGCGCGAAAGCGUGGGGAGCAAACAGG
rnacentral:rRNA from 1 species